rnacentral:lncRNA from 1 species
CUAGCCUUCCCCCAAUUGCUGCCACUUCCACACACCUUUUUUAUGUCUUAAAAUCCUAUUUUGUUAUAUCUCUAACUGUACAACUUCUAAAACAAGUAGUUGAAGUUAUUUUAGAAGUAAUUUUAUUCUCAUGUAGCCUACACAAAGGGAAAUAGGAAAGGAGAGGCUAAUGAAAAAUGGUGUGUAAAUUUCUGAUAAUGUUCAGACGCGUUAAAUAUUCACUUAAGCAUAACCUUUCUGUUUACACUCAUGGAUUCUGUAGUUAAAAAAAAAAAAAAAGCACAUACUGUUGUAUGCAUCCAUUGUUGCUGACUGUCUACCUGAAAGUGCAUCAAAUGCCUCGUCCCAGGAGGCUGUUCUGAAUAGAGUAGAGAGGGAGGGAGGGGCAUGUCAUCAUAGGCAGUUCAGAGCUCUGGAAUGACACCAUGGUCCCUUGAGACUAGAGUACUGACAUCCAACACAAGUCCUUGUUUUUCUGCAAGGCUUUUUGUUAGACAACAGGCAGCACUCUAUGAAGAUUGAUACAGAAGUGUUGGGCUUCGUUUGCUGGAUCAUCAAACGGAUUGAUAUUAUACUCCAGCAGUGGAUGAAGACAAAUGCCAGAUGCAUGCGAUGUGAAUUCUGUAUGCCUGUAGCAAAGAGCAGAGGUGCCCUGCACUCUUUUCUUCUAGAUGGCACUCAGAUCCAGAGUGGUUACAGAGCAGUCAGAGCCAAAGCAGCAGAAAGAUCAUUAGAGAGGAUGGAGCUGGAAUGGCAGAGAGAAGAAAAUGAGGACAAAAUACUUCUGCAGCUUGCCAGGAGAACUGACAGAGUAUACACAACAUAAGAAAUCAGGAAUGUACAUUUCAAGAAGAUCCCAUACCACUGUGGAGAGGAAGGCUACUAUGGAGAGGAAACUUCCUGGCCGCCAUGCAGUGUUAGAAGACUUGCCAGAAUUUCUCUUUGAAGAAGCUUCUAUGGAAUGAUAUCUUCAGAUAGUAUUAUCUUCAAAAUAUCCAAAAUUAUUUGUUCUGAGCAUUUUGAUUAGUUUGUAUAAAAUUGAUUUUGCUACAAAAAUUAAAAAAAAAAAACAAAUCAGCACAAAAGAUAAAUAAGCUGAAAUUAAAACCUGUU